AUGCAUCAUUUGCCACAUUUCCAAUUGUGGCUGCACGCAUUUCUGGCUCAUAUUCAUAUCUUACAUUUUCACUUUGUACUUCAUGCCAUGUGUCAUUCACUUCAUGUGUCUUACCAGAGUUAUUUCCAUUCCAAUUGAAAGUAAUGUGACCCAUUUUUUGGCUUUCACUGAUGAAGAUAAUCAAAACAUAUGUCAAAAUAAAUUUCAAAUAUUUAGAUGUGAUUUACAUAUAACAAUAGAAAAAAGAGAAAAUCUUGAAUUUUUAUAUACAAAUUUUUGUUAUUUAUUUUUUUAAAAUCGCUCAUCUUUGCAAUAUUAGUUGCAUGAUCAAUAUAAAGUAUUAAUCAAAGUGAGUGUAUGUGUGAUAUUGUGUGUGUGUGUAGAUAUAUAUGAUAACAUGGAAGAAAUUCUUACGUAAUGGCAAAUGUACGCACACCAUUAGCACUUAAAUAUUUUCCAGCUAAUUUGUGAAAUUGGGGAGGUUUUACUAAAUAGUGAAUGGGAAUCUUGGCUUUAAGAUCAUAUUGCAUG
rnacentral:lncRNA from 1 species